GUCUACGGCCAUACCUAGGCGAAAACACCAGUUCCCGUCCGAUCACUGCAGUUAAGUGUCUGAGGGCCUCGUUAGUACUAUGGUUGGAGACAACAUGGGAAUCCGGGGUGCUGUAGGCU
rnacentral:rRNA from 1 species